rnacentral:rRNA from 1 species
GACGAACGCUGGCGGCGUGCCUAAUACAUGCAAGUAGAACGCUGAGGGAGGAGCUUGCUUCUCUGGAUGAGUUGCGAACGGGUGAGUAACGCGUAGGUAACCUGCCUGGUAGCGGGGGAUAACUAUUGGAAACGAUAGCUAAUACCGCAUAAGAGUAGAUGUUGCAUGACAUUUGCUUAAAAGGUGCAAUUGCAUCACUACCAGAUGGACCUGCGUUAUAUUAGCUAGUUGGUGGGGUAACGGCUCACCAAGGCGACGAUACAUAGCCGACCUGAGAGGGUGAUCGGCCACACUGGGACUGAGACACGGCCCAGACUCCUACGGGAGGCAGCAGUAGGGAAUCUUCGGCAAUGGACGGAAGUCUGACCGAGCAACGCCGCGUGAGUGAAGAAGGUUUUCGGAUCGUAAAGCUCUGUUGUAAGAGAAGAACGAGUGUGAGAGUGGAAAGUUCACACUGUGACGGUAUCUUACCAGAAAGGGACGGCUAACUACGUG